rnacentral:lncRNA from 1 species
UUAUAUGCCCCACGGGCACACUCUGUUGUAAUCUAGAUUUUCAGAGUCUAUAUGCUCUUCGGCAAACUCUGUUUUGUAUGAGUUCCCAACUUUAUUUUAAUAUAUAAAGGCAUUGGGCUCUUCCAGCCGAACCGAGCCUAUAGUAAAGGCCUUCGAACUCGGCUUAUACGAUCCCUCUGUAAUGACCCAGCCCACUAGCAACAAUAAUUCGUUGGGCCCAACCACUGGCCCAAAAUGCUUAAGCUCAGUUAUUAUUACUAGUGUCUAAGUCUCUUAUAAACCCAAUGACAACCCCAUUCCCAUCCGAUGUGGGAUUAUUGGGGUGUCACACCCUCAUUAGCCGAAUCGCUUGAUCCAGUCGAAGGGCGCAAACUUCGAGGGUCAUUAAUCACAGCCACUCUGCAUCCUAACGCGCUUCCCGAGGUAGACCUUUGACCGGGUCAAGAGAAGGGAAUUUAGCUCAUAACCCUUGGCAAAUUUUAAAAAUAAAACUAUCCUGAAUGGAUGUAAAUUAGAAACAAUCAGAUUCUACUGAAAGAUAUUUAAUAAGAAUGUUUUUUUUUUAAGAGGAGUGAGAACACAAAGACUUGUAAAUAAAUUAAAAAGUUGAGGACUUACUAAAAUUAUUUGAAAAGUUGGGGAUGCAUAUAAAAAUGUGGUUGUAAAUAGCGGAUAGUGGGUACAUAGCAUUUGGAGGGUAUCAUUGCAAAUGAUGAAUAGUGGGUGUUCGGUUCAAGUGGUCGAAUAAAAAGAUUACACUUGGUGCAUCAAAAGCCGGAAAAGAAAGUCCAAAGACAAAUGGACUUUGGACGGAACAUUUGGGAGACGUGGUAGUGACCUUGUAACUAAAAAAAAAGUGGCCAAACCGACCGUCCCUAGGGGUGGAAACGAGCCGAGCUCGAGCGAGCUUAUGUCAGCUCAAAUUCGGCUUGAAAUUAAUUUCGAGCCUAAAUCUAGGCUCAAGCUCGGCUUGAAAUUAAUUCGAGCCGAGCUCGAGCGAGCCUAAUUUCGAGUCGAGCCGAGCUCGAGCUCUAAACGAGCCGAUUGAAAUUCUCGAUAUUAUAUAAUCAAUAGUUUAAUUUUUAUAGAACAUUACCUAUAAUUUGAUGCAACAUGUUCAAUAGUUCAAAAUACAAAAUAAUUGUAAGAAAUGUGAGCUAGGGUGACUGCCUGACUGGGUGAGGGUCAGAGAGAGAGAGAGAGGGAAAAAAAUUAGAGAUUUGGGAAUUUGAAUGUUAUUAUGUUUUAGGGUUAUGUGCAAUAGUGAAAGUCUGAAAGAGAGAGUGUGUUAUGUAAAUUUAGAGUUGGGCUCAAUUGCACGGUUGUACUUGUUGGGUUUAUUUUAUGGGCCAACAAUAAUGGCCCAAAUUAAAUUAAAGCCAAUAUAAUUAAAAUACAUUAUAUUUAUAAAUAUUAUAUAUAUAUAUAUUUUCGAGCUUUCGAGCUUUUCGAGCCUAAUUUGAACGAGCCGAGUAAUACUCAAGCUCGGCUUGAAAUGAAUUUCGAGCCUUUUAUUUUGUUCAAGCUCGGCUCAUUUAAUUUCGAGUCGAGCUCG